rnacentral:rRNA from 1 species
AUUGAACGCUGGCGGCGUGCUUAACACAUGCAAGUCGAGCGGCAGCGCGGGAGCAAUCCUGGCGGCGAGCGGCGAACGGGUGAGUAAUGCUUCGGAAUCUGCCCUUCAGUGGGGAAUAACCAGUCGAAAGACUGGCUAAUACCGCAUACGAACUGAGGUUGAAAGCAGGGGAUCGCAAGACCUUGCGCUGAUGGAUGAGCCGAAGUCGGAUUAGCUUGUUGGUGGGGUAAUGGCCUACCAAGGCGACGAUCCGUAGCUGGUCUGAGAGGACGACCAGCCACACUGGGACUGAGACACGGCCCAGACUCCUACGGGAGGCAGCAGUGGGGAAUAUUGGACAAUGGGGGCAACCCUGAUCCAGCGACGCCGCGUGUGUGAAGAAGGCCUGCGGGUUGUAAAGCACUUUUAGUGGGGAGGAAGGUCUGCGACCUAACACGUCGUGGAAUUGACUUAACCCACAGAAAAAGCACCGGCUAACUCUGUGC